GGGGAUUUGGCUCAGUGGUAGAGCGCUUGCCUGGCAAGCACAAGGCCCUGGGUUCGGUCCCCAGCUCCG
rnacentral:tRNA from 1 species